rnacentral:rRNA from 1 species
GACGAACGCUGGCGGUGUGCUUCACACAUGCAAGUCGAACGAGGUAGCAAUACCUAGUGGCGGACGGGUGAGUAACGCGUGGGAAUCUGCCCAAGGGUGGGGAUAACUAGCCGAAAGGUUAGCUAAUACCGCAUAUGCCGUGAGGUAAAAGGAGUAAUCCGCCCCUGGAUGAGCCUGCGUCUGAUUAGCUAGUUGGUAAGGUAAAGGCUUACCAAGGCUUCGAUCAGUAGCUGGUCUGAGAGGACGAUCAGCCACAAUGGGACUGAGACACGGCCCAUACUCCUACGGGAGGCAGCAGUGGGGAAUUUUACGCAAUGGGGGAAACCCUGACGUAGCGACACCGCGUGAGCGAAGAAGCCCUUUGGGGUGUAAAGCUCUGUCAGCAGGGACGAAAAAAAAUGACGGUACCUGCAGAGGAAGCAUCGGCUAACUACGUGCCAGCAGCCGCGGUAAU